AUUGAACGCUGGCGGCAGGCUUAACACAUGCAAGUCGAGCGAGCGGCGGACGGGUGAGUAAUGUCUGGGAAACUGCCUGAUGGAGGGGGAUAACUACUGGAAACGGUAGCUAAUACCGCAUACCAUCAGAUGUGCCCAGAUGGGAUUAGCUUGUAGGUGGGGUAAUGGCUCACCUAGGCGACGAUCCCUAGCUGGUCUGAGAGGAUGAAAAGCCACACUGGAACUGAGACACGGCCCGGACCCCUACGGGAGGCAGCAGUGGGGAAUAUUGCACAAGGGGCGCAAGCCUGAUGCAGCCAUGCCGCGUGGGUGAAGAAGGCCUUCGGUUUGUAAGGUACUUUCAGCGGGGAGGCGUUACUGGCAGAAGAAGCACCGGCUAACUCCGUGCCAGCAGCCGCGGUAAUAC
rnacentral:rRNA from 1 species